GAGUUUGAUCGUGGCUCAGGACGAACGCUGGCGGCGCGCUUAACACAUGCAAGUCGAGCGAGAACCAGGCCUUCGGGCCCGGGAAAGCGGCGAACGGGUGAGUAACACGUGGGUAACCCACCCUUGGUACCGGGAUAGCCCGAGGAAACUCGGAUUAAUACCGGAUGGCCCAACAGCUUCUCGGAGCGGUUGGAAAAGGUAGCUUCGGCCUCCGACCAAGGACGGGCCCGCGGUGGAUUAGCUUGUUGGUGAGGUAACGGCUCACCAAGGCUUCGAUCCAUAGCUGGUCUGAGAGGACGAUCAGCCACACUGGGACUGAGACACGGCCCAGACUCCUACGGGAGGCAGCAGUGGGGAAUCUUGCGCAAUGGGCGAAAGCCUGACGCAGCGACGCCGCGUGGGGGAAGAAGGCUUUCGGGUUGUAAACCCCUUUCAGGAAGGACGAAGCCACUCGGGUUAAUAGCCCAGAGGGUGACGGUACUUCCAGAAGAAGCCCCGGCUAACUACGUGCCAGCCGCCGCGGUAAG
rnacentral:rRNA from 1 species